rnacentral:rRNA from 1 species
UACGUAGGGUCCGAGCGUUGUCCGGAGUUACUGGGCGUAAAGCGCGCGCAGGUGGUCCAUUAAGCCCGGCGUGAAAGCCCCCGGCUCAACCGGGGGAGGGUCGUCGGGGACUGGUGGACUUGAGGGCGGCAGGGGCUGGUGGAAUCCCCGGUGUAGCGGUGAAAUGCGCAGAUAUCAGGAGGAACACCGGUGGCGAAGGCGGGUCUCUGGGCCGGUACCGACGCUGAGGAGCGAAAGCGUGGGGAGCGAACAGG